GAUGAACGCUGGCGGCGUGCCUAAUACAUGCCAGUCGAGCGAACAGACGAGGAGCUUGCUCCUCUGACGUUAGCGGCGGACGGGUGAGUAACACGUGGAUAACCUACCUAUAAGACUGGGAUAACUUCGGGAAACCGGAGCUAAUACCGGAUAAUAUAUUGAACCGCAUGGUUCAAUAGUGAAAGACGGUUUUGCUGUCACUUAUAGAUGGAUCCGCGCCGCAUUAGCUAGUUGGUAAGGUAACGGCUUACCAAGGCAACGAUCGUAGCCGACCUGAGAGGGUGAUCGGCCACACUGGAACUGAGACACGGUCCAGACUCCUACGGGAGGCAGCAGUAGGGAAUCUUCCGCAAUGGGCGAAAGCCUGACGGAGCAACGCCGCGUGAGUGAUGAAGGUCUUCGGAUCGUAAAACUCUGUUAUUAGGGAAGAACAAAUGUGUAAGUAACUAUGCACGUCUUGACGGUACCUAAUCAGAAAGCCACGGCUAACUACGU
rnacentral:rRNA from 1 species